rnacentral:rRNA from 1 species
AUUGAACGCUGGCGGCAGGCCUAACACAUGCAAGUCGAGCGGAUGAAGGGAGCUUGCUCCUGGAUUCAGCGGCGGACGGGUGAGUAAUGCCUAGGAAUCUGCCUGGUAGUGGGGGAUAACGUCCGGAAACGGGCGCUAAUACCGCAUACGUCCUGAGGGAGAAAGUGGGGGAUCUUCGGACCUCACGCUAUCAGAUGAGCCUAGGUCGGAUUAGCUAGUUGGUGGGGUAAAGGCCUACCAAGGCGACGAUCCGUAACUGGUCUGAGAUGAUGAUCAGUCACACUGGAACUGAGACACGGUCCAGACUCCUACGGGAGGCAGCAGUGGGGAAUAUUGGACAAUGGGCGAAAGCCUGAUCCAGCCAUGCCGCGUGUGUGAAGAAGGUCUUCGGAUUGUAAAGCACUUUAAGUUGGGAGGAAGGGCAGUAAGUUAAUACCUUGCUGUUUUGACGUUACCAACAGAAUAAGCACCGGCUAACUUCGU